rnacentral:rRNA from 1 species
ACAUCCAGCGAACUUGGCAGAGAUGCCUUGGUGCCUUCGGAACGCUGAGACAGGUGCUGCAUGGCUGUCGUCAGCUCGUGUUGUGAAAUGUUGGGUUAAGUCCCGCAACGAGCGCAACCCUUAUCCUUUGUUGCCAGCGAUUCGGUCGGGAACUCAAAGGAGACUGCCGGUGAUAAACCGGAGGAAGGUGGGGAUGACGUCAAGUCAUCAUGGCCCUUACGAGUAGGGCUACACACGUGCUACAAUGGCGCAUACAAAGAGAAGCGACCUCGCGAGAGCAAGCGGACCUCAUAAAGUGCGUCGUAGUCCGGAUCGGAGUCUGCAACUCGACUCCGUGAAGUCGGAAUCGCUAGUAAUCGUGGAUCAGAAUGCCACGGUGAAUACGUUCCCGGGCCUUGUACACACCGCCCGUCACACCAUGGGAGUGGGUUGCAAAAGAAGUAGGUAGCUUAACCUUCGGGAGGGCGCUUACCACUUUGUGAUUCAUGACUGGGGUGAAGUCGUAACAAGGUAGGCGUAGCGAG